AUGAACGCUGGCGGCGUGCCUAAUACAUGCAAGUCGAGCGAACGGACGAGAAGCUUGCUUCUCUGAUGUUAGCGGCGGACGGGUGAGUAACACGUGGAUAACCUACCUAUAAGACUGGGAUAACUUCGGGAAACCGUAGCUAAUACCGGAUAAUAUUUUGAACCGCAUGGUUCAAAAGUGAAAGACGGUCUUGCUGUCACUUAUAGAUGGAUCCGCGCUGCAUUAGCUAGUUGGUAAGGUAACGGCUUACCAAGGCAACGAUGCAUAGCCGACCUGAGAGGGUGAUCGGCCACACUGGAACUGAGACACGGUCCAGACUCCUACGGGAGGCAGCAGUAGGGAAUCGUCCGCAAUGGGCGAAAGCCUGACGGAGCAACGCCGCGUGAGUGAUGAAGGUCUUCGGAUCGUAAAACUCUGUUAUUAGGGAAGAACAUAUGUGUAAGUAACUGUGCACAUCUUGACGGUACCUAAUCAGAAAGCCACGGCUAACUACGUG
rnacentral:rRNA from 1 species